UAGGGAAUCUUCCGCAAUGGACGCAAGUCUGACGGAGCAACGCCGCGUGAGUGAAGAAGGAUUUCGGUUCGUAAAACUCUGUUGUUAGAGAAGAACAGCGCAUAGAGUAACUGUUAUGCGUGUGACGGUAUCUAACCAGAAAGCCACGGCUAACUACGUGCCAGCAGCCGCGGUAAUACGUAGGUGGCAAGCGUUGUCCGGAUUUUUUGGGCGUAAAGCGAGCGCAGGCGGUCAAUUAAGUCUGAUGUGAAAGCCCCCGGCUCAACCGGGGAGGGUCAUUGGAAACUGGUUGACUUGAGUGCAGAAGAGGAGAGUGGAAUUCCAUGUGUAGCGGUGAAAUGCGUAGAUAUAUGGAGGAACACCAGUGGCGAAGGCGACUCUCUGGUCUGUAACUGACGCUGAGGCUCGAAAGCGUGGGUAGCAAACAGG
rnacentral:rRNA from 1 species